rnacentral:rRNA from 1 species
ACCAGACUCCUACGGGAGGCAGCAGUGGGGAAUAUUGCACAAUGGGGGGAACCCUGAUGCAGCAACGCCGCGUGGGUGAAGAAGUACUCCGGUAUGUAAAGCCCUGUCAGCAGGGAAGAAAAUGACGGUACCUGACCAAGAAGCCCCGGCUAACUACGUGCCAGCAGCCGCGGUAAUACGUAGGGGGCAAGCGUUAUCCGGAUUUACUGGGUGUAAAGGGAGCGUAGGCGGCGCGUUAAGUCUGAUGUGAAAACCCGAGGCUCAACCACGGGAGUGCAUUGGAAACUGGCGGGCUGGAGUGCCGGAGAGGUAAGCGGAAUUCCUAGUGUAGCGGUGAAAUGCGUAGAUAUUAGGAGGAACACCAGUGGCGAAGGCGGCUUACUGGACGGCAACUGACGCUGAGGCUCGAAAGCGUGGGGAGCAAACAGGAUUAGAUACCCCGGUACAG